rnacentral:rRNA from 1 species
UACGGAGGGUGCAGCGUUGCUCGGAUUUAUUGGGCGUAAAGGGUAGGUAGGUGGUCUCAUUUGUCUGAGGUGAAAGCCUUGAGCUUAACUCAAGAAGUGCCUCAGAAACGGUGAGACUGGAGUCCUGGAGAGGGUCGUGGAAUUCCCGGUGUAGCGGUGAAAUGCGUAGAGAUCGGGAGGAACACCAGAGGCGAAGGCGGCGACCUGGACAGGUACUGACACUCAACUACGAAAGCGUGGGGAGCAAACAGG